AACGAACGCUGGCGGCAUGCCUAACACAUGCAAGUCGAACGAGACCACCGGGUCUUUUCUCGUACGAGGGUGUCACGCGUGGGAACCUGCCCUCAGGGUCGAAAUAACUCUCCGAAUGGGGUACUAAUACCGAACAAUGUCUUCUGCCCAAAGAUUUAUCGAAUUUGGUUGGUCCCUCGUUGGAUUCGCUAGUUGGUAGGGUAAAAGACUACGAAGGGGACGAUUCAUAGCUGGGAUGAGAGGAGGGUCAGCGACACUGGGACUGAGACACGGCCCAGAAUCCUACGGGAGGGAGGAGAGGGGGAUAGUGGAAAACGGGGGGAAGGCUGAACGAGCUAUGACGGGUAAGCGAUGAAGGUAGUAGGGUAGAAAAGUGCUUUUACCCGGGAUGAUAAUGACAGUACCGGGAGAAUAAGCCCCGGCUAACUACGUG
rnacentral:rRNA from 1 species